GAUGAACGCUGGCGGCGUGCCUAAUACAUGCAAGUCGAGCGAACGGACGAGAAGCUUGCUUCUCUGAUGUUAGCGGCGGACGGGUGAGUAACACGUGGAUAACCUACCUAUAAGACUGGGAUAACUUCGGGAAACCGGAGCUAAUACCGGAUAAUAUUUUGAACCGCAUGGUUCAAAAGUGAAAGACGGUCUUGCUGUCACUUAUAGAUGGAUCCGCGCUGCAUUAGCUAGUUGGUAAGGUAACGGCUUACCAAGGCAACGAUGCAUAGCCGACCUGAGAGGGUGAUCGGCCACACUGGAACUGAGACACGGUCCAGACUCCUACGGGAGGCAGCAGUAGGGAAUCUUCCGCAAUGGGCGAAAGCCUGACGGAGCAACGCCGCGUGAGUGAUGAAGGUCUUCGGAUCGUAUAACUCUGUUAUUAGGGAAGAACAUAUGUGUAAGUAACUGUGCACAUCUUGACGGUACCUAAUCAGAAAGCCACGGCUAACUACGUG
rnacentral:rRNA from 1 species